GAUGAACGCUGGCGGCGUGCUUAACACAUGCAAGUCGAACGUGAGAAUAGCAAUAUUUGAAAGUGGCAAACGGGUGAGUAACACGUGGGAACCUGCCUCGAAGUGGGGGAUAACGAUUGGAAACGGUCGCUAAUACCGCACGGUUCUGCUCUGAUGGGAAUGGAGCAGAUAAAGAUUUAUCGCUUUGAGAGGGGCCCGCGGCCGAUUAGCUAGUUGGUAAGGUAAAGGCUUACCAAGGCGAUUAUCGGUAGCUGGUCUGAGAGGACGAUCAGCCACACGGGAACUGAGAUACGGGCCAGACUCCUACGGGAGGCAGCAGUAGGGAAUAUUGGACAAUGGGUGCAAGCCUGAUCCAGCCAUGCCGCGUGCAGGAAGAA
rnacentral:rRNA from 1 species